rnacentral:rRNA from 1 species
AGUAUUAAAGGUCCCGCCUGCCCAGUGAAACUUUUAACGGCCGCGGUAUUCUAACCGUGCAAAGGUAGCGUAAUCACUUGUCUUCUAAAUAAAGACCAGUAUGAACGGCUAAAUGAGGACAAGCCUGUCUCUUAUAACUAAUCAGUGAAACUGAUCUUCCAGUACAAAAGCUGGAAUAAACACAUAAGACGAGAAGACCCCGUGGAGCUUAAAACUAAGCACCAACUACACCAUGCCCUGGUGCUCUGUUUUGAGUUGGGGCGACUUCGGAAUAAAAUAAAACUUCCGAGCACAGAACCACCAGUUCGAGCUAAGGCCAACAAGCCCAGGCACAAAACUGACCCGGCCUCCGCCGAUCAACGAACCAAGUUACCCCGGGGAUAACAGCGCUAUCUUCUUCAAGAGUCCCUAUCAACAAGAAGGUUUACGACCUCGAUGUUGGAUCAGGACACCCCAAUGGUGCAGCCGCUAUUAAAGGUUCGUUUGUUCAACGA